rnacentral:rRNA from 1 species
GACAGAGGUGCCAAGCGUUAGGCGGAAUCACUGGGCUUAAAGCGUGUGUAGGUGGAUGCCUAAGUGCCUUGUGAAAUCCCACGGCUCAACCGUGGAAUUGCUGGGCAUACUGGGUGUCUUGAGCCAUCCAGGGGUCGCUGGAACAAACGGUGGAGCGGUGAAAUGCGUAGAUAUCGUUUGGAACGCCAAUGGUGAAAACAGGCGACUGGGGAUGAGUUGACACUGAGACACGAAAGCCAGGGGAGCAAACGGG